rnacentral:rRNA from 1 species
AGUAAAUAGAUACCCUGGUAGUCCACGCCGUAAACGAUGUCGACUUGGAGGUUGUGCCCCUUGAGGCGUGGCUUCCGGAGCUAAACGCGUUAAGUCGACCGCCUGGGGAGUACGGCCGCAAGGUUAAAACUCAAAUGAAUUGACGGGGCCCGCACAAGCGGUGGAGCAUGUGGUUUAAUUCGAUGCAACGCGAAGAACCUUACCUACUCUUGACACUCCAGAGAACUUAGCAGAGAUGCUUUGGUGCCUUCGGGUAACGUCUGAGACAGGUGCUGCAUGGCUGUCGUCAGCUCGUGUUGUGAAAUGUUGGGUUAAGUCCCGCAACGAGCGCAA